CAUGUUAUUUAUUUUUUAUUCAUUAUAUAUGUGUACAAAACAUACACAAACAUUACGGAAAGAUGAAAAAAUUACAGAAGCAAACAUGAGCUGCAACUCAGUUUAUUCCCAUGAUUUUAUGACAUAUGAUAGUUAUACUUGGUGCAAAUGACUGGUGAAGCUUCAUUUUUGCUUAGUAGCCAUGACAACCGAAGAGGUGGCAGGUGGGCUUGGCCGAGGGGGAGGCAGGGCGUGGCUUGCAAAGUUCUUGUUGAUCAUGCAAGGGGGGCCUUUGCCGGGAAUUCGGGUGCAUGGACUUGGGGCAGAAGGAGAAACUGGACCCGCCUGCAGAGACUGCAAGACAAUAUUAAUUCUUUUCUUCUUCCACUCUUUUUUCUCUCCAUUAGGAACCCUACUAGCAUGGUUUGGUUGGACACUCAGAAGAAAAACAACUGCAGUGACAGCUAAAACAAUGGUGAGAGACCUCAUGAUCUUGGUGGGGUUUAAGCUAAGACACUACGAGAUAUGGAAUUAAUAUGAUAUCUGGGAUGAUAUGCAUAUGUGGAGGAGAUCAUAUUAAUUGCUAUUUAUAAGCAUGGAUACCCAAUGUUAUAACUUCGAUUUUCCAUUGUUUCAUUUGUGUGAAAGGGUUUUUUUAGCUCUUGAAUACAAGGGUUUUGCCACGGCAUAGACUAGAAAUUGAGAAGGUCAUAAAGAUACUAGGUUUGAAUUACAUACAAUGACAAAGUUUUCAUAGGUCAUUAAUUGUAAGCAUCCGCCAUCCCAAAAAUAAAUAAAUUAAUUAAUUAAAAAAUUUACUGUUAUUAAAUACAAUGAUAAUUAUGAUCUUUGUAAAAAUAAAAAUAAAAAUGAAUUAAAUAAAAAAUAUCUACUUCCCACUUCAUGUCUGUGAAUUGUUGCUUCUUCAAAAUACAAUGGAUGAUAUUGAAAUAUUUAAAAGCAUGACUUCAAUAAUUUAGCUUAUUAAUUAACCUGUAACAUCAUACUUUUGCAUGAUGUUGCCCCACCGAAUAAAUAUUUUCCAAAUUAAGUUAGAAUUGGUCUCAUGCAAACUGUCGCAUUUAAAAAGUUUCACGGUUUGUAUACCACUUUUCUGACUGACGAUUAGUGGAUUACUUCCUUUUGGGGCACUAAGUUUGAUCAAAGAAUAGGUUUAUGGUGGGAACGGAUUUUUUUAGUGAAUUGGAGCUUGAAUGUUUGUUGGUUUGGUCGUGAUGCUCACAGCCUUUACGUGACAUCCUCCUCAACAAUCAAAUGUUUGAAUAUGACUGAUGACUAUUCACAUGCAUCAGUUUUUUUAUGCAUUGUCACGAUUCAAGAGCAGAGGCCCUUUCCAAAUUUCCAAAUUGUGUAUUUGUGUGCAUGCUUGUUAUGAAGGCCCAGCGUCUACAUUUAUGAAUAUAUAUAUAUAUAUACUUUUCCAUAUACCAUUUUUGCAGCACCCCAAAGCUGCUUAUUCUUCACGUCUUCCCCGCUCUCUAUUCAUAUAAAACGAUCCAUUCAUUUCUUUUCGAAGAUGGGUUUCACUUCUAGGAAAUUAGUCCUCUUGGUGGUGCUUUUCAAUUUCAUGCUUCUCUCAGCUUGGAGUUUCCGAGAACUUGAAGCAAUGCGGCUACUAGGAGGAGGGCAAUGGGCGAAGAGAAACAGUCUUGUGCUUCAAUCUCUGCAGAAAGGUCCAGUGCUGCCAUCCGGCCCCAGUCCUUGUACUCACAUCCCAGAACAAAGGGCAGGGCGAUGCACUUUCAAUGAAAAGAAUAUAGCUUACGACAUUGCAACUGCACCUCCAGCCGUUUUCGCGUNNNNNNNNNNNNNNNNNNNNNNNNNNNNNNNNNNNNNNNNNNNNNNNNNNNNNNNNNNNNNNNNNNNNNNNNNNNNNNNNNNNNNNNNNNNNNNNNNNNNCAGUUUAUUCCCAUGAUUUAUGACAUAUGAUAGUUAUACUUGGUGCAAAUGACUAGUAGAAUUUCUGAAAUCUGGUAGUGGCCAUGGUGAAGCUUCAUUUUUGCUUAGUAGCCAUGACAACCGAAGAGGUGGCAGGUGGGCUUGGCCGAGGGGGAGGCAGGGCGUGGCUUGCAAAGUUCUUGUUGAUCAUGCAAGGGGGGCCUUUGCCGGGAAUUCGGGUGCAUGGACUUGGGGCAGAAGGAGAAACUGGACCCGCCUGCAGAGACUGCAAGACAAUAUUAAUUCUUUUCUUCUUCCACUCUUUUUUCUCUCCAUUAGGAACCCUACUAGCAUGGUUUGGUUGGACACUCAGAAGAAAAACAACUGCAGUGACAGCUAAAACAAUGGUGAGAGACCUCAUGAUCUUGGUGGGGUUUAAGCUAAGACACUACGAGAUAUGGAAUUAAUAUGAUAUCUGGGAUGAUAUGCAUAUGUGGAGGAGAU
rnacentral:lncRNA from 1 species